rnacentral:rRNA from 2 species
GCUGGCGGCGUGCCUAAUACAUGCAAGUCGAACGAACUCUGGUAUUGAUUGGUGCUUGCAUCAUGAUUUACAUUUGAGUGAGUGGCGAACUGGUGAGUAACACGUGGGAAACCUGCCCAGAAGCGGGGGAUAACACCUGGAAACAGAUGCUAAUACCGCAUAACAACUUGGACCGCAUGGUCCGAGUUUGAAAGAUGGCUUCGGCUAUCACUUUUGGAUGGUCCCGCGGCGUAUUAGCUAGAUGGUGGGGUAACGGCUCACCAUGGCAAUGAUACGUAGCCGACCUGAGAGGGUAAUCGGCCACAUUGGGACUGAGACACGGCCCAAACUCCUACGGGAGGCAGCAGUAGGGAAUCUUCCACAAUGGACGAAAGUCUGAUGGAGCAACGCCGCGUGAGUGAAGAAGGGUUUCGGCUCGUAAAACUCUGUUGUUAAAGAAGAACAUAUCUGAGAGUAACUGUUCAGGUAUUGACGGUAUUUAACCAGAAAGCCACGGCUAACUACGUGCCAGCAGCCGCGGUAAUACGUAGGUGGCAAGCGUUGUCCGGAUUUAUUGGGCGUAAAGCGAGCGCAGGCGGUUUUUUAAGUCUGAUGUGAAAGCCUUCGGCUCAACCGAAGAAGUGCAUCGGAAACUGGGAAACUUGAGUGCAGAAGAGGACAGUGGAACUCCAUGUGUAGCGGUGAAAUGCGUAGAUAUAUGGAAGAACACCAGUGGCGAAGGCGGCUGUCUGGUCUGUAACUGACGCUGAGGCUCGAAAGUAUGGGUAGCAAACAGGAUUAGAUACCCUGGUAGUCCAUACCGUAAACGAUGAAUGCUAAGUGUUGGAGGGUUUCCGCCCUUCAGUGCUGCAGCUAACGCAUUAAGCAUUCCGCCUGGGGAGUACGGCCGCAAGGCUGAAACUCAAAGGAAUUGACGGGGGCCCGCACAAGCGGUGGAGCAUGUGGUUUAAUUCGAAGCUACGCGAAGAACCUUACCAGGUCUUGACAUACUAUGCAAAUCUAAGAGAUUAGACGUUCCCUUCGGGGACAUGGAUACAGGUGGUGCAUGGUUGUCGUCAGCUCGUGUCGUGAGAUGUUGGGUUAAGUCCCGCAACGAGCGCAACCCUUAUUAUCAGUUGCCAGCAUUAAGUUGGGCACUCUGGUGAGACUGCCGGUGACAAACCGGAGGAAGGUGGGGAUGACGUCAAAUCAUCAUGCCCCUUAUGACCUGGGCUACACACGUGCUACAAUGGAUGGUACAACGAGUUGCGAACUCGCGAGAGUAAGCUAAUCUCUUAAAGCCAUUCUCAGUUCGGAUUGUAGGCUGCAACUCGCCUACAUGAAGUCGGAAUCGCUAGUAAUCGCGGAUCAGCAUGCCGCGGUGAAUACGUUCCCGGGCCUUGUACACACCGCCCGUCACACCAUGAGAGUUUGUAACACCCAAAGUCGGUGGGGUAACCUUUUAGGAACCAGCCGCCUAAGGUGGGACAGAUGAUU